rnacentral:tRNA from 1 species
GCGGUGGUAACUCAGUUGGUAGAGUAUCAGCCUUCCAAGCUGACUGUCGCCGGUUCGAGCCCGGUCCGCCGCU